AUUGAACGCUGGCGGCAGGCUUAACACAUGCAAGUCGAACGAGUGGCGGACGGGUGAGUAAUGUCUGGGAAACUGCCCGAUGGAGGGGGAUAACUCCUGGAAACGUUAGCUAAUACCGCAUACCCUCCGCUGUGCCCAGAGGGGAUGAGGUGGUAGGUGGGGUAACGGCUCACCUAGGCGACGAUCCCUAGCUGGUCGUAGAGGAUGACCAGCCACACGGGAACGGAGACACGGUCCAGACCCCUAAGGGCGGCAGGAGUGGGGAAUAUUGCACAAUGGGCGGAAGCCGUAUACAGCCAUGCCGCGUGUAUGAAGAAGGCCUUUGGGUUGUAAAGUACUUUUAGCGAGGAGGCGGUAAUCGCAGAAGAAGCACCGGCUAACUCCGUGCCAGCAGGCGCGGUAAUUC
rnacentral:rRNA from 1 species